UUGCGUACAAUCAGUUAUUUCACUUAUGAAAUGGCCAAUAACCAGAGAGAAACCGCCAGGGAUGGCGGUUUCAGGGAGCGUUAGGCAUGGAUGCCGUUGCUCCCGGCUCGUUCGGUUCUACAACAUUUCUCAUUUCAUUAGUGAAAUCUGAUUGGAAGCUC
rfam:Lachnospiraceae bacterium 28-4 genomic scaffold acPFn-supercont1.3, whole genome shotgun sequence.